rnacentral:rRNA from 1 species
UACAGAGGUCUCAAGCGUUGUUCGGAUUCAUUGGGCGUAAAGGGUGCGUAGGCGGCGCGGUAAGUCGGGUGUGAAAUCUCGGGGCUUAACUCCGAAACUGCAUUCGAUACUGCCGUGCUUGAGGACUGGAGAGGAGACUGGAAUUUACGGUGUAGCGGUGAAAUGCGUAGAUAUCGUAAGGAAGACCAGUGGCGAAGGCGGGUCUCUGGACAGUUCCUGACGCUGAGGCACGAAGCCAGGGGAGCAAACGGG